rnacentral:rRNA from 1 species
UACGUAGGGGUGCAAGCGUUGUCCGGAAUUAUUGGGCGUAAAGAGCUCGUAGGCGGUCUGUUGCGUCGGCUGUGAAAACCCGGGGCUCAACUCCGGGCCUGCAGCCGAUACGGGCAGACUAGAGUUCGGCAGGGGAGACUGGAAUUCCUGGUGUAGCGGUGAAAUGCGCAGAUAUCAGGAGGAACACCGGUGGCGAAGGCGGAUCUCUGGGCCUUGCCUGACGCUGAGGCGCGAAAGCUAGGGGAGCGAACAGG